rnacentral:rRNA from 1 species
UACGGAAGGCAGCAGUGGGGAAUAUUGCACAAUGGGCGAAAGCCUGAUGCAGCUAUGCCGCGUGUAUGAAGAAGGCCUUAGGGUUGUAAAGUACUUUCAUCGGGGAGGAAAAAACAAAACUAAUAAUUUUAUUUCUUGACGUUACCCGAAAAAGAAGCACCGGCUAACUCCGUGCCAGCAGCCGCGGUAAUACGGAGGGUGCUAGCGUUAAUCAGAAUUACUGGGCGUAAAGAGCACGUAGGUGGUUUUUUAAGUCAGAUGUGAAAUCCCUGGGCUUAACCUAGGAACUGCAUUUUGAAACUGAAAUACUAGAGUAUCGUAGAGGGAGGUAGAAUUCUAGGUGUAGCGGUGAAAUGCGUAGAUAUCUGGAGGAAUACCUGUGGCGAAAGCGGCCUCCUAAACGAAUACUGACACUGAGGUGCGAAAGCGUGGGGAGCAAACAGGGAUUAGAUACCCGU